GACGAACGCUGGUGGCGUGCUUAACACAUGCAAGUCGAACGGAAAGGCCCUGCUUUUGUGGGGUGCUCGAGUGGCGAACGGGUGAGUAACACGUGAGUAACCUGCCCUUGACUUUGGGAUAACUUCAGGAAACUGGGGCUAAUACCGGAUAGGAGCUCCUGCUGCAUGGUGGGGGUUGGAAAGUUUCGGCGGUUGGGGAUGGACUCGCGCCUUAUCAGCUUGUUGGUGGGGUAGUGGCUUACCAAGGCUUUGACGGGUAGCCGGCCUGAGAGGGUGACCGGCCAAAUUGGGACUGAGAUACGGCCCAGACUCCUCCGGGAGGCAGCAGUGGGGAAUAUUGCACAAUGGGCGGAAGCCUGAUGCAGCAACGCCGCGUGCGGGAUGACGGCCUUCGGGUUGUAAACCGCUUUCGCCUGUGACGAAGCGUGAGUGACGGUAAUGGGUAAAGAAGCACCGGCUAACUACGUG
rnacentral:rRNA from 1 species